GGCAGCAGGGUGGCGGUUAGGAGUCUGGACCCUGGAAAUCAGACUAGCCCUGCCCUUGCUGUAUGCCUCUACAUGGUUCCUUCCUUUGUGCCUCGGUUUCCCCAUCCAUAAGAUGGCCGUCACAGCAGAGUGCCCACCUCCUCCGCAGACAAGUUUGAGAAUGAAAUGGGACGCAUGAAGAAAAAUGUUGAACCCAAGGCCUGGCCCACAGGAGCAGACGGAACUCUGAUUCUCCCUUCUUUCUCCCCCAGCCCCGAGUCCGCCCACUCUUCCUUUAUGCCGCAAGCAAUGAAGGCCUCGCCUCGCGGAGCCCCCGCGCACCAAUGGGCCCGACCCGUGGAUGAAGUUGCAUUAUAUAGGUUAAUCUUCACUCUUCAACGCCAUACAUUUUAUGCAGGUAGGACCAGCACAGCCUGGGGACUGGGGGCUGGUGAGAGGGAUGCUUAAUUUUCUUGGACUCGGUUUCUCCGUCUGCAAAAUGGAGGAUAUAAAACGCCUGAUCUCAGCCUUCGACCAUGAGGAUCAAACAAGAUUAUGGGUGUGAAUGAGUCUGGAGACCCACCCUGGGAUGUCGCUGACCAGCACCAGUGCCUCCUGAUUGUAUAUCACCGCUGCCACCAGUCAGCCCAAAGAAAAUGUUUGAGGGGAUUCCAGAGCCAUUCCUACUCUCUGCGCCUCCUUUGCUGGACCACUUGCUGGGCACUGGUGUCAGAAGGCAGGGAAGGGGACUAGUGACCCCUAAUUCACUCAUGGGGUCCUCUCUCUGUACCAAGUAUUAACGCUUCUGCUCUGUCGGAAGCCGUGAGGCCCUUGCCUGGCUUCCUGAUGGUUCUGCGUCCUUGGAGGACUGUAUGGUCUUGGGUUUUGAGGGUUGCUUGCAACUCAGGCAGGUAGCAUCUUGGGCAGCAGCCCAGGGAAGAGUGCCGGGCAGUGACCCCAACAGGCAGAGGAGAUCGAGAAUAUGGAGAGGGGUCCACAAGUUCAAGAAACACUGAGGAAGUGACACUGACAGGUCGUGUUAACAGCUUUCUGACAAGCAGUUUGGCAAUAGAUAUAAGGAGACAAGACCUGUUGACUCCCUUCCACCCAGUUAUACCACCUCCAGGUUUAUUUCGAAGAGAUGAGCAGAGACAGACAAAGAUUUAGGUACAAGGAUGCUCCACUCAGUGUUGUUUAUAACAGCAAAAAAUUAGAAUCAGCUUAGACUGGUUGAGUAAGUUAUGGUGCAUCCUUGCAAUGAAAUACCAUAUAGCCGGUUUUUAAAAUUCCAUUUUAAAAUAAGAUUUAAUGCUCAUGGUUCUGAAUGAAAUGAGAGAAAACAAGUUGUAAAACCCCGUGUGUGGAAUGAAACUCGAAAAGCACACUGAGCAAAAGAAAUCAGAGGAGAGACUGGCUCAUUAUGCAAGAUGCCAUUUUUACAAAGUUCUAGAACAGGUGAAUUGGAUCCGUAGUCCAAGACAUCAGACCCAUGGUUGCCUGAGUUUGGGGGGUUAGGGUAAUUGAUGGGAAGGGCAAGCGGAGUUUUGGGGAAUAUGGUAAAUGUUCUUUAUUUUGAUUGUGAUGGAAAUUACACAGGUGUGUACGUUCGUCAAAACUCACUGAAUGGUGCAGCAUCUGCAGAACGUUAUGGCAGUUUCUCAAAAAUUAAACAUAGAAUUCCCAGGGAGCCUGGGUGGCUCAGUCGGUAAGCGUCUGCCUUCGGCUCGGGUCAUGGUCUCGGGGUCCUGGAAUCAAGCCC